rnacentral:rRNA from 1 species
AUGGCUCAGGACAACGCUGGCGGCGUGCCUAAUACAUGCAAGUCGAACGGUCUUUCUAUGGAAGCUUGCUUCCACUGAGAAGAUAGUGGCGAACGGGUGAGUAACACGUGGGUAACCUGCCCAUAAGAGGGGGAUAACAUCCGGAAACGGGUGCUAAUACCGCAUAGUUUUCUUGAUCGCAUGAUUGAGAAAGGAAAGACGGCCUUUGUGCUGUCGCUUAUGGAUGGACCCGCGGCGUAUUAGUUAGUUGGUGAGGUAACGGCUCACCAAGACGAUGAUACGUAGCCGACCUGAGAGGGUGAUCGGCCACAUUGGGACUGAGACACGGCCCAAACUCCUACGGGAGGCAGCAGUAGGGAAUCUUCCGCAAUGGACGAAAGUCUGACGGAGCAACGCCGCGUGAGUGAAAGAAGGUUUUCGGAUCGUAAAACUCUGUUGUCAGAGAAGAACAAGUUGGAGAGUAACUGCUCCAGCCUUGACGGUAUCUGACCAGAAAGCCACGGCUAACUACGUGCCAGCCGCGGC